GAUGAACGCUGUCUACAGGCUUAACACAUGCAAGUCGAGGGGAAACGACGGGGAAGCUUGCUUCCCCGGGCGUCGACCGGCGCACGGGUGAGUAACGCGUAUCCAACCUGCCUCUGACUGAGGGAUAACCCGUCGAAAGUCGGCCUAAUACCUCAUGGCAUCGUCUGCGGGCAUCCAACGACGAUUAAAGAUUUCAUCGGUCAGGGAUGGGGAUGCGUCUGAUUAGCUUGUUGGCGGGGUAACGGCCCACCAAGGCUACGAUCAGUAGGGGUUCUGAGAGGCAGGUCCCCCACAUUGGAACUGAGACACGGUCCAAAAUCCUACGGGAGGCAGCAGUGAGGAAUAUUGGGCAAUGGGCGGGAGCCUGAACCAGCCAAGUAGCGUGCAGGAGGACGGCCAUAUGGGUGGUAAGCUGCUUUUAUGCGGGGAUAAAGUGAGGGACGUGUCCUUCAUUGCAGGUACCGCAUGAAUAAGGACCGGCUAAUUCCGUG
rnacentral:rRNA from 1 species